CAGGGUGCGGGGCCAGGCAGAGCGGGGCAAGAUGGCGGCGUGAGAGGGAGCGGCCGGGGCCGCCGCGGCUCCGCGGCUCGGGCCGCGUCAGGCUCACUGAAGAGAAUGCGGAUUGAGAGAAAAUAAUGCUCUCCAGGUCUGUUUUUCUACAUCUUUAUAACAAGGAUAAGACUCUCCCAACAGUGGGAGCAUGGAUGAUCAAGCUCAUGAUCAGCUGAAAUAUUUGAGUGCCUCAGAGCGAAGGUGAUGGUGACGUUUACUGUAUUUUCAUGAUCUACUUGCUACUUCUAACAUCAUUGGAGAGUUGAGCAUUGUCACUGGGAGAUUAUUUCUGAACUCGGUCAGCUGAAGUAUUAAGAUCCUCUCCUGACCUUCAAGAAGAAGGUGGUCCUGUUGCUUGCUCAUAGGCUGUGAGAUGUGGGUGUUUCUCUUCUAGCAAGCAAAAGCCUGCCCUUCACUUCCAUGGAGCUGAACGAACAAAGAUUUCUCGUCUUCCUGUUUCAGCCAUUUCACCCAACAUUUGAUACACCAGAUGACUUCUUCCACAGAAGUACCCCAUCUUUUUAUCAACACUCAGAAGCAGAGUAACAGAAAUCAGCGUUUUUUUCCCUGAGGAAAUGUGUUAUGUGCCAGCUCUUCAUCCAGCUUUCUGCAUUCUGUUUUAAAAUGAGAAAUGCUUCGUAAUGAGAAACAAAGGAAGCUAGUGUUUUUUGCUGAGGUCUCUCUCUUCAUUUCAGGAAGGUUAAGUACUUCACUCUGUCACGCUGGAAUUCCUAGCAGAUAAAGUAUCUGCAUGCAUUGCUAUGUCAGGCUGUCUUGACACACAUAAAAAGUUGCAACAGGAAAACCAGAACGUAUUUUCUGCUGUGACAUGAGUAGGAAACUUAGUAAACAACUGACAACAUCCCAUGCAGGUAUUUUCUAGCGUAAGACGCAGGCUUGACUUUGUACAUAAAUGUCUUGUUGUCAACUCACAUAAAGCAGCUGAUGCACAGGAAAAAAUGCAGAAUCACCUUGUCUACAGUGUGUAAAUGCAUCAUCCCAGUCUGUGAUCAAACUAUAUAUUUGCAUGUGUAAACCUAUGUAAGUGCUGGAUAUGAAGAGCUUUCACCAGGAGGAGAAAUUACUCCACUGCAUUUCAUUUUUAGCGAAGAAAAAUGAAGCUAUAAAGCCUCUGAGGUAACAGAAAUAAUUAUUAGGUUUAUGUUAAAUCAUUCCCUCCUUCUGGCUUAUUUUGAAACCUUAGCAGCAACAGGAACAAAACCAUUCUACGAUAGAAGAGAUGGGGCAGAACUUUUUUCUUUAUUAAAGAAAUUAACUUCUGGUGGGAUGGAAAAGACCAGAGAUGUAAAGUUAAAGUUUAUCCCCUCAGCUUCCUUGGCACAGUUUCAGCUUUUCAUACUGUUGAUGGAAUCACCUUUUUGAUUCUUCUCUGACUGAAAACUGAUAUGACCGAUAUGUUUC